rnacentral:rRNA from 1 species
UACGUAGGGGGGCAAGCGUUGUCCGGAUUUAUUGGGCGUAAAGAGCGUGUAGGCGGCCAGGUAGGUCCGCUGUGAAAACUCGAGGCUUAACCUCGAGAUGUCGGUGGAAACCAUCUGGCUAGAGUCCGGAAGAGGAGAGUGGAAUUCCUGGUGUAGCGGUGAAAUGCGCAGAUAUCAGGAAGAACACCCGUGGCGAAGGCGGCUCUCUGGGGACGGUACUGACGCUGAGACGCGAAAGCGUGGGGAGCGAACAGG